rnacentral:rRNA from 1 species
AGUUACCAGCACGUUAUGGUGGGCACUCUAAGGAGACUGCCGGGUGACAAACCGGAGGAAGGUGGGGAUGACGUCAAGUCAUCAUGGCCCUUACGGCCUGGGCUACACACGUGCUACAAUGGUCGGUACAAAGGGUUGCCAAGCCGCGAGGUGGAGCUAAUCCCAUAAAACCGAUCGUAGUCCGGAUCGCAGUCUGCAACUCGACUGCGUGAAGUCGGAAUCGCUAGUAAUCGUGAAUCAGAAUGUCACGGUGAAUACGUUCCCGGGCCUU